ACGGGUGAGUAACGCGUGGGAAUCUACCGUACCCUACGGAAUAGCCCUGGGAAACUGGAAGUAAUACCGUAUACGCCCUAACGGGGAAAGAUUUAUCGGGGUAUGAUGAGCCCGCGUUGGAUUAGCUAGUUGGUGGGGUAAAGGCCUACCAAGGCGACGAUCCAUAGCUGGUCUGAGAGGAUGAUCAGCCACAUUGGGACUGAGACACGGCCCAAACUCCUACGGGAGGCAGCAGUGGGGAAUAUUGGACAAUGGGGGCAACCCUGAUCCAGCCAUGCCGCGUGAGUGAUGAAGGUCUUAGGAUUGUAAAGCUCUUUCAACGGUGAAGAUAAUGACGGUAACCGUAGAAGAAGCCCCGGCUAACUUCGUGCCAGCAGCCGCGGUAAUACGAAGGGGGCUAGCGUUGUUCGGAAUUACUGGGCGUAAAGCGCACGUAGGCGGGUAUUUAAGUCAGGGGUGAAAUCCCGCAGCUCAACUGCGGAACUGCCUUUGAUACUGGGUAUCUUGAGUAUGGAAGAGGUAAGUGGAAUUGCGAGUGUAGAGGUGAAAUUCGUAGA
rnacentral:rRNA from 1 species